GUCUACAGCCAUACCACCCUGAUUGCGCCCGAUCUCGUCUGAUCUCAGAAGCUAAGCAGGGUCGGGCCUGGUUAGUACUUGGGUGGGAGAAAAAGAUAUAUAUGAGAGAGAGUCAAAGAAUUAUUUAUA
ensembl:rRNA 5S_rRNA 5S ribosomal RNA